rnacentral:snoRNA from 1 species
UCACAUUCAAUUUAGCUGACCAUGCUCCUUUCCUCAUAGGGGCCAGGUGUGCAACGGUUGCAAACUCCUUGGUAGUGUAUGCAGCCUGUUGCUUGUAUGGCUUGAUCUACGGGGCCUUGGAGUUAGCC